UACGAAGGGGGCUAGCGUUGCUCGGAAUCACUGGGCGUAAAGCGCACGUAGGCGGAUUGUUAAGUCAGGGGUGAAAUCCUGGAGCUCAACUCCAGAACUGCCUUUGAUACUGAAGAUCUUGAGUCCGGGAGAGGUGAGUGGAACUGCGAGUGUAGAGGUGAAAUUCGUAGAUAUUCGCAAGAACACCAGUGGCGAAGGCGGCUCACUGGCCCGGUACUGACGCUGAGGCACGAAAGCGUGGGGAGCAACAGG
rnacentral:rRNA from 1 species